CCUGGUGUAAUCAAUAGCUACAGUUUUAAUGAAUGAGAGGUUUAGUAUCAAGUUACAAUUAAAGACAAGUUUAAUAUCAACUAGUUACUACUUAUCUCGAAACACGUACUCAAUUCAUAGAUUGGAUGGAACAAAUAAACUGAUAUUUAUUGGAAGGGGUUUAACAAACGUAUACAGAUCGACGUGUUUCUUUGCUGUGAGGGAGGGGUAGAUAGGGACUUUAUAAUUUUUUUUCUCUAAUAUGGAUCUUACUGCAGAAGGGGUCGGCGUGUUUGGGAAGUGGGACUACGCAUCGUAUAACUGGCAAAGGUAUGACAACAGGAAGUGGUUAUUUUUCCGGUCACGAAAACCAACCAGCUUUGCCUAUAUUUGUCCGUGAAUUAAUUUGAUUGGUUCUUUUCUUGGUUCUGUCAGCUUGCUAGAAUGUCAAGUAAAUUUCAUUAAUUUUCGCAUUCCUCGGUAGUCGAGUUGUGUGCGCUAGCUCCGGGGAUCGAAUACUUGAAGGAGAUUCACGAUGAUUUGCGGCCUGAUCAGUUCGGGUUAGAGGUUGGGGAAGGGGUUGGGUAAGGUUCC